rnacentral:rRNA from 1 species
CGGGCCCUAUCAUGCAAGUCGAGCGACAGAUUAGGAGCUUGCUCCUUUGAAGUUAGCGGCGGACGGGUGAGUAACACGUGGGUAACCUACCUAUAACACUGGGAUAACUUCGGGAAACCGGAGCUAAUACCGGAUAACAUUUAGAACCGCAUGGUUCUAAAGUGAAAGAUGGUUUUGCUAUCACUUAUAGAUGGACCCGCGCCGUAUUGCUAGUUGGUAAGGUAACGGCUUACCAAGGCGACGAUACGUAGCCGACCUGAGAGGGUGAUCGGCCACACUGGAACUGAUACACGGUCCAGACUCCUACGGGAGGCAGCAGUAGGGAAUCUUCCGCAAUGGGCGAAAGCCUGACGGAGCAACACCGCGUGAGUGAUGAAGGGUUUCGGCUCGUAAAACUCUGUUAUUAGGGAAGAACAAAUGUGUAGUAACUGUGCACAUCUUGACGGUACCUAAUCAGAAAGCCACGGCUAACUACGUGCCACCAGCCGCGGUAAUACGUAGGUGGCAAGCGUUAUCCGGAAUUAUUGGGCGUAAAGCGCGCGUAGGCGGUUUCUUAAGUCUGAUGUGAAAGCCCACGGCUCAACCGUGGAGGGUCAUUGGAAACUGGGAAACUUGAGUGCACAAGAGGAAAGUGGAAUUCCAUGUGUAGCGGUGAAAUGCGCAGAAAUAUGGAGGAACACCAGUGGCAAAGGCGACUUUCUGGUCUGUUACUGACGCUGAUGUGCGAAAGCGUGGGGAUCAAACAGGAUUAGAUACCCUGGUAUUCCACGCCGUAUACGAUGAGUGCUAAUUGUUGGGGGGUUGUCCGCCCCUUAAUGCUGCAUCUAACGCAUUAAGCACUCCGCCUGGGGGAGUACGACCGCAAGGUUGAAACUCGGAGGAAUUGACGGGGACCCGACACAGGCGGUGGAGCAUGUGGGUUUAAUUUCGAAUCAACUUCGAAGAACCUUACCAGAUCUUGACAUCCUUUUGAACAUUCCUAUGAGAUACUAGCCUUUCCCCUUUCGGGGGGCACUUAAGGGACAGGGGGGAGCAUGGGGUUGUCAUCCAUCUUCGUGCUCGUGCAAAUUUCUGGGUAUAGUUUCCGUAAGGACCCGCCAACCCGUUCAGCUUUUUUUGGCAUUAUUUACGUUGGAUUCCUUCUGGCUUCCUGCCGGAUGACAAACACCGGAACGAACGCGGGGGAGGGGAAGGGACGGGUGCCUA